rnacentral:rRNA from 1 species
AGGACGAACGCUGGCGGCGUGCCUAACACAUGCAAGUCGAACGCGCUCCAUUCGGUAGCAAUACUGAUGAAGAGCGAGUGGCGAACGGGUGAGUAGCGCGUGAGCAACCUGCCCCGAAGACUGGGACAACACCGGGAAACCGGUGCUAAUACCGGAUAUCCCUAUCGGACCGCAUGAUCUGAUAAGGAAAUGGAUUCCGCUUCGGGAGGGGCUCGCGGCCUAUCAGCUAGUUGGUGAGGUAACGGCCCACCAAGGCAUCGACGGGUAGCUGGUCUGAGAGGACGAUCAGCCACACUGGGACUGAGACACGGCCCAGACUCCUACGGGAGGCAGCAGUGGGGAAUCUUGCGCAAUGGGCGAAAGCCUGACGCAGCAACGCCGCGUGGAGGACGAAGGCUUUCUGAGUUGUAAACUCCUUUCAGCAGGGACGAUAGUGACGGUACCUGCAGAAGAAGCACCGGCCAAUACGUGCCAGCAGCCGA